rnacentral:miRNA from 1 species
UGUUAUAUAUGUGUGUGA